rnacentral:rRNA from 1 species
GAUGAACGCUGGCGGCGUGCCUAAUACAUGCAAGUCGAGCGAACAGACGAGGAGCUUGCUCCUCUGACGUUAGCGGCGGACGGGUGAGUAACACGUGGAUAACCUACCUAUAAGACUGGGAUAACUUCGGGAAACCGGAGCUAAUACCGGAUAAUAUAUUGAACCGCAUGGUUCAAUAGUGAAAGACGGUUUUGCUGUCACUUAUAGAUGGAACCGCGCCGCAUUAGCUAGUUGGUAAGGUAACGGCUUACCAAGGCAACGAUGCGUAGCCGACCUGAGAGGGUGAUCGGACACACUGGAACUGAGACACGGUCCAGACUCCUACGGGAGGCAGCAGUAGGGAAUCUUCCGCAAUGGGCGAAAGCCUGACGGAGCAACGCCGCGUGAGUGAUGAAGGUCUUCGGAUCGUAAAACUCUGUUAUUAGGGAAGAACAAAUGUGUAAGUAACUAUGCACGUCUUGACGGUACCUAAUCAGAAAGCCACGGCUAACUACGUG